rnacentral:rRNA from 1 species
UCCUACGGGGGGCUGCAGUGGGGAAUAUUGGACAAUGGGCGAAAGCCUGAUCCAGCCAUGCCGCGUGUGUGAAGAAGGUCUUCGGAUUGUAAAGCACUUUAAGGUGGGAGGAAGGGCAGUAAAUUAAUACCUUGCAAUUUUGACGUUACCGCCAGAAUAAGCACCGGCUAACUCUGUGCCAGCAGCCGCGGUAAUACAGAGGGUGCAAGCGUUAAUCGGAAUUACUGGGCGUAAAGCGCGCGUAGGUGGUUUGUUAAGUUGGAUGUGAAAUCCCCGGGCUCAACCUGGGAACUGCAUCCAAAACUGGCAAGCUAGAGUAUGGUAGAGGGUAGUGGAAUUUCCUGUGUAGCGGUGAAAUGCGUAGAUAUAGGAAGGAACACCAGUGGCGAAGGCGACUACCUGGACUGAUACUGACACUGAGGUGCGAAAGCGUGGGGAGCAAACAGGAUUAGAUACCCCUGUAGUCCA